AGAGUUUGAUCCUGGCUCAGGAUGAAUGCUGGCGGCGUGCCUAACACAUGCAAGUCGAGCGGCAGCGAGUUUUACACUGAAUUCUGGAAGCUUCUGGGUAAUAUAGAAGAUUUAUUCAAGAAUUUUGUGUAAAAUGUCGGCGAGCGGCGGACGGCUGAGUAACGCGUAGGAAUUUGCCCCAAAGUGAGGAAUAACUGCCCGAAAGGGUAGCUAAUGCCGCAUAUGGUCUUCGGAUUAAAGCCUUCGGGCGCUUUGGGAGAAGCCUGCGUUGGAUUAGGUAGUUGGUAGGGUAAUGGCCUACCAAGCCGACGAUCCAUAGCUGGUCUGAGAGGAUGAUCAGCCAGACUGGAACUGAGACACGGUCCAGACUCCUACGGGAGGCAGCAGUGAGGAAUCUUCCACAAUGGGCGAAAGCCUGAUGGAGCAACGCCGCGUGAAGGAUGAAGGCCUUCGGGUUGUAAACUUCUUUUAUGAGUGAAGAAUAUGACGGUAACUCAUGAAUAAGCACCGGCUAACUACGUGCCAGCAGCCGCGGUCAUACGUAGGGUGCAAGCAUUAUCCGGAGUGACUGGGCGUAAAGAGUUGCGUAGGCGGUUUAAUAAGUGAAUAGUGAAACCUGGUGGCUCAACCAUACAGACUAUUAUUCAAACUGUUAAACUCGAGAAUGGUAGAGGUAACUGGAAUUUCUAGUGUAGGAGUGAAAUCCGUAGAUAUUAGAAGGAACACCGAUGGCGUAGGCAGGUUACUGGGCCAUUUCUGACGCUAAGGCACGAAAGCGUGGGGAGCGAACAGGAUUAGAUACCCGGGUAGUCCACGCCGUAAACGAUGGAUACUAGCUGUUGGAGGUAUCGACCCCUUCAGUAGCGAAGCUAACGCGUUAAGUAUCCCGCCUGUGGAGUACGGCCGCAAGGCUAAAACAUAAAGGAAUUGACGGGGACCCGCACAAGCGGUGGAUUAUGUUCUUUAAUUCGAUGAUAACCGAAGAACCUUACCAGGGCUUGACAUCCAGGGAAGGUCUGCGAAAGUAGACUGUGCCUUUUGGAACCCUGUGACAGGUGAUGCAUGGCCGUCGUCAGCUCGUGUCGUGAGAUGUUAGGUUAAGUCCUUCAACGAGCGCAACCCUUGUGAAUAGUUGUAUUUUUCUAUUCAGACUGCCCCGGUAACGGGGAGGAAGGAGGGGAUGAUGUCAGGUCAGUAUUUCCC
rnacentral:rRNA from 1 species